rnacentral:lncRNA from 1 species
GAAACAAAUGGCUAUUGUACGACUUGAGAUUAAUAACAGAUUACAACUUGGUAUUCAGUGGAACUUUCAUACCCCUUAAAGUCCUCAAUCUUCAGGAAACGUAGAAUGGACUAAUGGUCUUUUAAAAACACGCCUCAUCAAGUUCUGGUUCUUUCACUAUUAUUAUUCUGUUUUUCUAAUUUUGGUUGAAAUAUAUAAAAAUUUAUGGGCCGGGCGCGGUGGCUCAUGUCUGUAAUCCCAGCACUUUGGGAGGCCGAUCCUGGUCUUGCUGGGCUCAGGAGUGAAGCUGCAGAU